rnacentral:rRNA from 1 species
AGAACGAACGCUGGCGGCAGGCUUAACACAUGCAAGUCGAGCGCCUCGCAAGAGGAGCGGCAGACGGGUGAGUAACGCGUGGGAAUCUACCGUACCCUACGGAAUAGCUCCGGGAAACUGGAAUUAAUACCGUAUACGCCCUAACGGGGAAAGAUUUAUCGGGGUAUGAUGAGCCCGCGUUGGAUUAGCUAGUUGGUGGGUAAAGCCUACCAAGGCGACGAUCCAUAGCUGGUCUGAGAGGAUGAUCAGCCACAUUGGGACUGAGACACGGCCCAAACUCCUACGGGAGCAGCAGUGGGGAAUAUUGGACAAUGGGCGCGAAGCCUGAUCCAGCCAUGCCGCGUGAGUGAUGAAGGCCCUAGGGUUGUAAAGCUCUUUCGACCGGUGAAGAUAAUGAACGGUAACCGAGAAGACGACCCGGACUAAC